UCUCCCCUCUGGCAGAUCAACACUCCCUCCCAACUUGGUGUCAUCUACAAACUUACUGAGGGUGCACUCAAUCCUCUCAAGAUCAUCAAUGAAGAUGUUCAACAGAAGUGGCCCCAGUACUGAGCCUUGGGGGAAAGAGCACUUUCUGGCACUAAGUCCAAGAUGAAGCCAG